CCCCCCCCCCCCCCCCCCCCCCCCCCCCCCCCCCCCCCCCCCCCCCCCCCCCCCCCCACUGGGAGUUACUGGGUUGUUACUGGGCAUUACUGGGAGCACUGGGAGUUACUGGGUUGUUACUGGAAGGUUACUGGGUUGUUACUGGGAAGCACUGGGAGUUACUGGGUUGUUACUGGGAAGCACUGGGAGUUACUGGAAGGUUACUGGGAGUUUCUGGGUUGUUACUUGAAGGUUACUGGGAGGUUACUGGGAGUUCCUGGGUUGUUACUGGGCGUUGCUGGGAGCACUGGGAGUUACUGGGUUGUUACUGGGAAGCACUGGGAGUUACUGGAAGGUUACUGGGAGUUUCUGGGUUGUUACUUGAAGGUUACUGGGAGGUUACUGGGAGUUCCUGGGUUGUUACUGGGAGCACUGGGAGCCUCACCUGGAGCGCAGCACAAAGUGGGAGGGGGGGAUGAGCCCCUCCAUACUGGGAUGGGGGAACUGGGAGCACUGGGAGUUACUGGGAGCACUGGGAGUUACUGCCGGGGUCCGGGCGGGGCUCAGCCAUCAGCCACCUGUGUGGGGGGAUACAGUUCCCAGUAAGGACCAGUACAGACCAGUAUAGGCUGUCCCCGGUCCCAGUUCAUCCCAGUCCCUCCAGUUCCUUCAAAUUCCCCCCACUCCAUCCCAGUCUCUCCCAGUCCAUCCCAGUCCCUCUCAGUCUCUCCCCAACCCCCCAGUUAAUCCCAGUACAUCCCAGUCCCUCCCAGUACCUUCCAAUUCCUCCCAGUCCCUCCCAGUUAAUCCCAGUCUCUCCCAGACCAUCUCAGUCCCUCCCAGUCCUUUCCAGUUCUAUCCCAGUUCAUACCAGACCCUCCCAGUCGUUCCCAGUCCCCCCAGUUAAUCCCAGUCCCCCCCAGCUCAUCCCAGUCUCUCCCAAUUACCCCAGUCCCUCCCAGUUCCCCCGCGCGGUGCACGCCGGGAAGGGAAGGCGCCCGCGCCUUCCCCUCAGCCAAUAAGAAGCGGCAACUUCCGGUUCCCGCCUUUUCCUCUGACCAAUGGGAAACGGUGAUUGGAAAGGGGGGCGGGGCCACAGGGAUCGGUCCUGGAAGGGGAAAUGGGAUCCUGAGGGGGCAAAUGGGGUCCUGGAAGGGGAAAUGGGGUCCUGAGGGGGCAAAUAGGGUCCUGGAAGGGGAAAUGGGGUCCUGAGGGGGCAAAUGGGGUCCUGGAAGGGGAAAUGGGGUCCUGAGGGGGCAAAUAGGGUCCUGGAAGGGGAAAUGGGGUCCUGAGGGGGCAAAUGGGGUCCUGGAAGGGGAAAUGGGGUCCUGAGGGGGCAAAUAAGGGAAAGGGGGGCCUGAGGGGGAAAUGGGGUCCUGGAAGGGAAAUGGAAUCCUGAGGGGGUUAAUGGGGUCCUGGAAGGGGAAAUGGGGUCCUGGAAGGGAAAUGGAAUCCUGAGGGGGUUCAGGAGAUCACCAGGACUCCGGGUUGGGGGAAAAAGGGGGUGAGAAAUCCCAAAAAGUACAAAAAACCACAAAAAACCCAAAAAACCCGGUGAAAAAACAAAAAAAAAACCCAAAAAAUCCCAAAAAAAAUCCCAAAAAUAAAAAAAAAAAUCCCAAAAAACCCAGAGAGGCGGGGCUGGGGGCAGGAGAUCACCAGGACUCCGGGUUGGGGGAAAAAGGGGGUGAGAAAUCCCAAAAAGUACAAAAAACCACAAAAAACCCAAAAAACCCGGUGAAAAAACAAAAAAAAAACCCAAAAAAUCCCAAAAAAAAUCCCAAAAAUAAAAAAAAAAAUCCCAAAAAACCCAGAGAGGCGGGGCUGGGGGCAGGAGAUCACCAGGACUCCGGGUUGGGGGAAAAAGGGGGUGAGAAAUCCCAAAAAGUACAAAAAACCACAAAAAACCCAAAAAACCCGGUGAAAAAACAAAAAAAAAACCCAAAAAAUCCCAAAAAAAAUCCCAAAAAUAAAAAAAAAAAUCCCAAAAAACCCA
rnacentral:lncRNA from 12 species